GAAACAAAAAGGCAUCUUUUUGUUUUUAAAAGACCUUCUUACGAAGGUAUGCUUAAAGAGGGGCUUGCGCCACAUUAGUUAGUUGGUAGAGUAAAAGCCUACCAAGACGAUGAUGUGUAGCUGGACUGAGAGGUUGAACAGCCACAUUGGGACUGAGACACGGCCCAAACUCCUACGGGAGGCAGCAGUAGGGAAUUUUCGGCAAUGGAGGAAACUCUGACCGAGCAACGCCGCGUGAACGAUGAAGUAUUUCGGUAUGUAAAGUUCUUUUAUUGAAGAAGAAAAAGUAGUGGAAAAACUAUAUUGACGUUAUUCAAUGAAUAAGCCCCGGCUAACUAUGUGCCAGCAGCCGCGGUAAGACAUAGGGGGCGAGCGUUAUCCGGAAUUAUUGGGCGUAAAGGGUGCGUAGGCUGUUAGAUAAGUCUAUAAUUUAAUUUCAGUGCUUAACGCUGUCUUGUUAUAGAAACUGUCUUGACUAGAGUGAGAUAGAGGCAAGCGGAAUUCCAUGUGUAGCGGUAAAAUGUGUAAAUAUAUGGAGGAACACCAGAAGCGUAGGCGGCUUGCUGGGUCUUUACUGACGCUGAGGCACGAAAGCGUGGGUAGCAAACAGGAUUAGAUACCCUGGUAGUCCACGCCGUAAACGAUGAGUACUAAGUGUCGGGGUAAAACUCGGUACUGAAGUUAACACAUUAAGUACUCCGCCUGAGUAGUACGUACGCAAGUAUGAAACUUAAAGGAAUUGACGGGACUCCGCACAAGCGGUGGAUCAUGUUGUUUAAUUCGAAGAUACACGAAAAAUCUUACCAGGUCUUGACAUACUCUGCAAAGCUAUAGAAAUAUAGUGGAGGUUAUCAGGGAUACAGGUGGUGCAUGGUUGUCGUCAGUUCGUGUCGUGAGAUGUUAGGUUAAGUCCUAAAACGAACGCAACCCUUGUCGUUAAUUGCCAGCACAUAAUGGUGGGGACUUUAACGAGACUGCCAAUUAAACAUUGGAGGAAGGUGAGGAUUACGUCAAAUCAUCAUGCCCCUUAUGAUCUGGGCUACAAACGUGAUACAAUGGCUGUGACAAAGAGUAGCUGAAACGCGAGUUUUUAGCCAAUCUCAAAAAAGCAGUCUCAGUUCGGAUUGAAGUCUGUAACUCGACUUCAUGAAGUUGGAAUCGCUAGUAAUCGCGAAUCAGCAUGUCGCGGUGAAUACGUUCUCGGGGUUUGUACACACCGCCCGUCAAACCACGAAAGUUAGCAAUGCCCGAAAGCAGUAGCUUAACUUCGCAAGAAGAGGGAACUGUCUAAGGUAGGGUUGAUGAUUGGGGGUAAGUCGUAACAGCGUACCCC
rnacentral:rRNA from 1 species